AUCUCGAUUAUUCGACUACUUGUGUUGUGGUCAAUUUUUUUUUCGGAUACUUGUUCUAUACUAUUUUGGAUCUUUAAUUUUAAUAUUGCGUGCCAAACGACUCUCUAUGACACGGACACAUACGUAUGCUACUGCAGUGUGUCGGGUGCCUUACGAUGUUCAUAUUUAAUAAAUAAUUUUAUUUUAUGGAAAUGUAUAAUUGAUAGCUGUU
ensembl:lincRNA Y41C4A.17 ncRNA